rnacentral:rRNA from 1 species
AUGGGCGAAAGACCUGAUGGAGACAACGACGCGUGAGUGAAGAAGGUGCUUCGGAGCGUAAAGCUCUGUUGCACGGGACGAAAACCGAGUUUGAGAAUAUUGAGCUUGGGUGACGGUACCGAGCGAGGAAGCCACGGCUAACUACGUGCCAGCAGCCGCGGUAAUACGUAGGUGGCGAGCGUUGUCCGGAAUUAUUGGGCGUAAAGGGAGCGCAGGCGGACAUAUAAGUCCAUCUUAAAAGUGCGGGGCUCAACCCCGUGAGGGGAUGGAAACUGUAUGCCUUGAGUGCAGGAGAGGAAAGCGGAAUUCCCAGUGUAGCGGUGAAAUGCGUAGAUAUUGGGAGGAACACCAGUGGCGAAGGCGGCUUUCUGGACUGUAACUGACGCUGAGGCUCGAAAGCCAGGGGAGCGAACGGGAUUAGAUACCCCCGGGUAGUCCUGGCCCGUAAAACGAUGAAUGCUAGGUGUAGGAGGUAUCGACCCUUCCUGUGCCGGAGUUAACGCAUUAAGCAUUCCCGCCCUGGGGAGUACGGUC